rnacentral:SRP_RNA from 14 species
AGGCCGGGGAGAUCGGCUUCUCCUUCGAGUGCCUCGUGGAGCUCAUCCUCAACAUGCGGGGCACGAACCCCGCGAAGGUCAAGGACAUGAAGGAGCAGCUGAAGGUCAUCAAGGCCAUCAUGAAGGAGACCCAAAGGGCUGCAGACACCGGGUUCGAAAAACUCGACUUGGAGUUGAUGAGGAUCAAAGAUGAGUUGAGGGAACUUCGCCAGGCCC